AACGAACGCUGGCGGCAUGCCUAACACAUGCAAGUCGAACGAGAUCUUCGGGUCUAGUGGCGCACGGGUGCGUAACGCGUGGGAAUCUGCCCUUUGGUUCGGAAUAACAGUUGGAAACGUCUGCUAAUACCGGAUGAUGACGAAAGUCCAAAGAUUUAUCGCCAGAGGAUGAGCCCGCGUAGGAUUAGCUAGUUGGUGCGGUAAAGGCGCACCAAGGCGACGAUCCUUAGCUGGUCUGAGAGGAUGAUCAGCCACACUGGGACUGAGACACGGCCCAGACUCCUACGGGAGGCAGCAGUGGGGAAUAUUGGACAAUGGGCGAAAGCCUGUUCCAGCAAUGCCGCGUGAGUGAUGAAGGCCUUAGGGUUGUAAAGCUCUUUUACCCGGGAUGAUAAUGACAGUACCGGGAGAAUAAGCUCCGGCUAACUCCGUGCCAGCCGCCGCCGUAA
rnacentral:rRNA from 1 species